CUGCUAGUAUAUAAUUUUUGUUUAUCUUAUAUUUUGAUUUCUCUGAGCCCUCUACUAUUUCUUUUUGUGUGUAUGUGUCUGAUUUGACUUUAGACAGACCAACUGAUGUAUGGAAUACCAAGUGGAGUAUCACCUUCCAUUCAUGCUAUUUCCUUCCCUUAAUGUUUUCAAGAUACUUUCCAGUUACCAUUAGGAAAAAAAAAAAAAAAAAGCAACACACAAACAAACAAACUCAGAAUGUACCUUCAAAUUUAUGCUUAAUAACAGUGACAUUAAAUAUCACUGUGGCAAAAGUGAUUGUUUUUUUCACUUUCUUUGCUGUUCUUUUAAGUUUAUUUGCUGUUCUUUUUCAGAUGUGUAACUCGUACAAACAUUGUCCAUGGUUUUCAAGACUUUUCCCACUCCACCACUUGGAGCUGUUGCCUCUAGCAGGGAACCUGCCUCCCAGAGCAGAAUCACUUGUGGCUUCUGAACAUAUUUUGUUCUGAACAUUUCAAAUUCUUAUCAAGUGAUUUUUUGAAAACCACACUAAGACAAAGUGCCUGGAUGCCUAAUCUGAGACAAGGUCAACAGAGAGAAAUUGGUCACCAAGAUGGGAUGAGCUGUUGGAUUCAGAAUACUCAGUGGGACUUUCAGUGCUACACACACAAAAAAACAGAAAUAGCAUCCUGGGGAUCUGGAGAACAGCUGGAAGACAACCACCUUGCUAACUUUAAUAUCAGAUGGCAAACAGCUUCAUAUUCUCAUCUCCUGUUUACCCUACCUUCAUCCAUCACAGCGGUGUGGCUGGCCAGGAUGCAUUUCAGGUGUCCCCUCUGCAGAGGUGAGCAGGACCCCUUACCAUCCCCACUUUGUCCUCAGUCCCAGCUGGAGCUGCCCCAGAAGCAGUGCUGGAGCACCCUGGGGUGCUCGGGCUGGCCUCCCUGUACCACUGGUGGGGUCAGGCCAUUCUGUGAUGUUCCAUGCUGCUCCUGGUUGCUGUAAAAUAGAAACAUG
rnacentral:lncRNA from 1 species